rnacentral:rRNA from 1 species
GAUGAACGCUAGCUACAGGCUUAACACAUGCAAGUCGCGGGGCAGCAUGGGGGUUGCUUGCAAUCCCCGAUGGCGACCGGCGCACGGGUGAGUAACGCGUAUCCAACCUGCCCUUCACCACGGGAUAACCCGGCGAAAGUCGGACUAAUACCGUAUGUUGUCCAUUGACGGCAUCCGAUUUGGACGAAAGGUUUGGCGGUGAAGGAUGGGGAUGCGUCCGAUUAGCUGGACGGCGGGGUGACGGCCCACCGUGGCGACGAUCGGUAGGGGUUCUGAGAGGAAGGUCCCCCACACUGGAACUGAGACACGGUCCAGACUCCUACGGGAGGCAGCAGUGAGGAAUAUUGGUCAAUGGGCGUAAGCCUGAACCAGCCAAGUAGCGUGCAGGAUGACGGCCCUAUGGGUUGUAAACUGCUUUUAUGCGGGGAUAAAGUGGCCCACGUGUGGGUUUUUGCAGGUACCGCGUGAAUAAGGACCGGCUAAUUCCGUG